UACGAAGGGGGCUAGCGUUGCUUGGAAUCACUGGGCGUAAAGCGCACGUAGGCGGAUCUUUAAGUCAGGGGUGAAAUCCCAAGGCUCAACCUUGGAACUGCCCUUGAUACUGGGGAUCUCGAGUCCGGAAGAGGUUGGUGGAACUCCGAGUGUAGAGGUGAAAUUCGUAGAUAUUCGGAAGAACACCAGUGGCGAAGGCGGCCAACUGGUCCGGCACUGACGCUGAGGUGCGAAAGCGUGGGGAGCAAACAGG
rnacentral:rRNA from 1 species